GAAUUUUUCAUAAAUCGUUUGAUCAUCGAUUUAUGAAAAAUUCUUCCGCUACGGUAGGGUUGUGUUACGUUUAGUUAUGAUUUGUCAAUAUUUAAAAGUCAGUAUUCUGAAAACUAUCAAAAUAGCAAAUGCCGAACGUACUACGCUAGCCAACAUCAUUUCGCUCCGUGUAUCAACGACCAAUUCAAAACACGCUCCAACAAAAAGGCCUUAAGCAAAGCGACGACGCAAAAUCAAGGCAACGCCGUAAUGCAAAAGAUCACUCACACAGCGAUACAAUUGAUAGCAGUAGAGCACAGUCAUCCGGUUUGGUCUCGUCAUCGUCAUUCGUAGCCGUCCGUUCGAUCGCGGUAGAAGCGACCACGCGAGUGCAGAAAAAGCAAAGUUUAAUCCCAUCGGGAGAAAACUUCCAAGAGGAAAUAAUCACACGAUCUAUAUUUAGAUACGUGCCUAAAGGACGACGAAACGAACCAGCAGAUUAGCCAGCCAGCACCACGUUUAAGCUAACCUCAAAAGGUUCGCUUGGCCGAAUACUCACUCUCCGAACGACUGGAAUUACGGUUUACGGAGGUCAGGAGUCACUCUACACGACGAUUUGCCAUCCGCCACGAGCCACGUUGAUCCACCACACACGAUAGUGGAAUCGCAGGGAGGACGUCAUCUUUCCAUCUGCACCAUAAGGAUUUGUGCAGAGCACGAGGCCUUCCGAAGGAAGUAGGUAGAAAAUCCCUUCGAAAUUGAGCACCGGCUAAUCCUUUGGGAUGCCAGGGCCUUUUUUUUUAUUCGCAGACUGGUCUUCUUCUGCGGACCUUGCAGUUUCCCCUUUUCUGGGUAGAAGUGGCAACUUUCGUCGCACCGAGGAUCCAGUGAGCGGAAUCGAUUGGUAAGACGAAGACACAGUAGACACGAGAGAGGCUCUCCAACAGGAUCGACAAAGUGGACAUCGUGGACCAAAAGGUGUGCAGACAAACGGCCAAUACGGCAGGAGACGCAUCAAGCGGAAAUCAUUCCGAACACUGCUGGUGUCGGUCGACAAUCGGAAGUGAAGGAGAACCGAGAACAACCCCGUGAGCGGUCGAAAAGUCUAAUAGCUGGUUGGAAGCGGUCAGGAUGAGCGAGGAUUGGUCAUCUGAUGAACCGGGCGUUGGCAAGGAGCAGCAUGGGGGACGCCCCAAGAAGAUAAGUGCUAGUUUAUAAGGAAAACCUUGGCUUUAGCCAGCAUAAUGAUUAGCUCCUAAGAAGAUUCGGUCACUAUUCAGGGAUAAAACCCAAAUAUAUGUAUUAAACUGCGA